GACGGAGGAUGCAAGUGUUAUCCGGAAUCACUGGGCGUAAAGCGUCUGUAGGUGGUUACAAUAAGUCAACUGUUAAAUCUUGAGGCUCAACCUCAAAACCGCAGUCGAAACUAUUAGACUAGAGUAUAGUAGGGGUAAAGGGAAUUUCCAGUGGAGCGGUGAAAUGCGUAGAGAUUGGAAAGAACACCGAUGGCGAAGGCACUUUACUGGGCUAUUAGAA
rnacentral:rRNA from 1 species